rnacentral:rRNA from 1 species
GUGGGGAAUAUUGCGCAAUGGGCGAAAGCCUGACGCAGCGACGCCGCGUGAGGGAUGAAGGUUUUCGGAUCGUAAACCUCUGUCAGAAGGGAAGAAGUUGCAUGGGGCCAAUCACCUGUGCAUUGACGGUACCUUCAAAGGAAGCACCGGCUAACUCCGUGCCAGCAGCCGCGGUAAUACGGAGGGUGCGAGCGUUAAUCGGAAUUACUGGGCGUAAAGCGCACGUAGGCUGUAUGUCAAGUCAAGGGUGAAAUCCCACGGCUCAACCGUGGAACUGCCUUUGAAACUGGCAAACUGGAGUAUGUGAGAGGGUGGCGGAAUUCCUGGUGUAGGAGUGAAAUCCGUAGAUAUCAGGAGGAACAUCAGUGGCGAAGGCGGCCGCCUGGCACAAAACUGACGCUGAGGUGCGAAAGCGUGGGUAGCAAACAGGAUUAGAAACCCCAGUAGUCC